rnacentral:misc_RNA from 1 species
AGAUGACGAGCUGCUACGUGGAUCAUGGAUUGGCAGACAAAUGGUGUAUAAAAUAUUGCUAAAUGCUUGCGCCAGUUGGCGUUACAACAAAAAACCGCGUGCACUAAGCCAUUUCAUGUAAGAGUUCAAGCAUACUAAAAUGGAAGCAACAUCAUAGUCUAACAACUAACUAGGAACAAAGACUUUAAAAGGCAAACAAUUCAUAAAAAUAAAGACGAGAGACGAAUGGGAAACAACUGCUGGGAGAACCACACAUU